GAGCCCAGAAAGAAACCUUUGCAUAUGCGGGCAAAUGAUUUUUAAUAAGGGUGCUGAGACCAUUCAAUGUGGAAAUAACAGUCUUUUCAACAAACAGUGCUGGAAAAACUGAAAAUCCACAUGGAAAAGCACCAAGCUGGACCCUUGGGAGCUGCAGGGGACCCUGAGUCUGGUUAGCCAAUCACAUGCCUCCCAGCUGCUGGACCUGACAGGUAGAGAAGGCUGCCGCAGUGUCUCUCGAAGGGCUGCGGCCUUCUUUGUGUGUUUUUAUUUAUUUCAGUCAGGGUCUCACUCUGUCACCCAGGCUGGAGUCCAGUGGCAUGAUCACGGCUCGCUGCAGCCUUAACCUCCUGGGCUUAGGCAAUCCUCCCACCUCAGCCUUCCAGGUAGCUGAAAAGAUUUACAAGCAUGUGUCACCACACCCAGGGAAUUUUUUGUAUUUUUUUUUUUUCUUGUAGAGAUGGGGUUUCUCCAUGUUGCCUAGGAGGGCCUCAACUCCUGGGCUCAAGUGAUCCGCUCCCCACACA
rnacentral:lncRNA from 1 species